UGCCUCAGCUGGGAGUCACGUCCUUUCCCCUUUCCGGUUCUACCCUCCUGAAAUGGAGGUGAGAUGGCAGAAGUCAGAGCAAGCACUGUGGGACCUUGGGAAAAAAAGUCAAGAGAAUCUCAGUGCAAAGAAAAAGCAUCUAAAUACCUUGGUCUCCAUGGAAGACAAGGGAGUCCAUCGUUAAUAUCUUCCCCCUUCUUCUGACAAAAGCACCAUGUACCUUUACCCCUGCCUUCAGGUAAUGUUCCUUAUCCACCUUUUGUU
ensembl:lncRNA